CUCUGUGACUCCUACGGGAGGCAGCAGUGGGGAAUAUUGCACAAUGGGCGCAAGCCUGAUGCAGCCAUGCCGCGUGUAUGAAGAAGGCCUUCGGGUUGUAAAGUACUUUCAGCAGUGAGGAAGGUAUCGUAGUUAAUAGCUGCGGUAUUUGACGUUAGCUGCAGAAGAAGCACCGGCUAACUCCGUGCCAGCAGCCGCGGUAAUACGGAGGGUGCGAGCGUUAAUCGGAAUUACUGGGCGUAAAGCGCAUGCAGGUGGUUUGUUAAGUCAGAUGUGAAAGCCCGGGGCUCAACCUCGGAAUUGCAUUUGAAACUGGCAGACUAGAGUACUGUAGAGGGGGUAGAAUUUCAGGUGUAGCGGUGAAAUGCGUAGAGAUCUGAAGGAAUACCGGUGGCGAAGGCGGCCCCCUGGACAGAUACUGACACUCAGAUGCGAAAGCGUGGGGAGCAAACAGGAUUAGAUACCCUCGGUAG
rnacentral:rRNA from 1 species